rnacentral:rRNA from 1 species
GGAGUUUGGACCGUGUCUCAGUUCCAAUGUGGGGGACCUUCCUCUCAGAACCCCUACUGAUCGUAGCCUUGGUGGGCCGUUACCCCGCCAACUGGCUAAUCGGACGCGGGUCCAUCUCAUACCACCGGAGCUUUUCACACUGUACCAUGCGGUACUGUGCGCUUAUGCGGUAUUACCAGUCGUUUCCAACUGCUAUCCCCCUGUAUGAGGCAGGUUACCCACGCGUUACUCACCCGUCCGCCACUAACCUUCCGGAAAAUCAUAGCAAGCUAAUCUUUUCCAUGGGUCCGUUCGACUUGCAUGUGUUAGGCACGCCGCCAGCGUUCAUC